rnacentral:rRNA from 2 species
GAAACCGGGGCUAAUACCGGAUGGUUCCUUCCUCCGCAUGGAGGAAGGCGGAAAGACGGUUUCGGCUGUCACUUACAGAUGGGCCCGCGGCGCAUUAGCUAGUUGGUGGGGUAAUGGCCUACCAAGGCAACGAUGCGUAGCCGACCUGAGAGGGUGAUCGGCCACACUGGGACUGAGACACGGCCCAGACUCCUACGGGAGGCAGCAGUAGGGAAUCUUCCGCAAUGGACGAAAGUCUGACGGAGCAACGCCGCGUGAGCGAAGAAGGCCUUCGGGUCGUAAAGCUCUGUUGUAAGGGAAGAACAAGCAUCGGUUAACUGCCGGUGCCCUGACGGUACCUUACCAGAAAGCCACGGCUAACUACGUGCCAGCAGCCGCGGUAAUACGUAGGUGGCAAGCGUUGUCCGGAAUUAUUGGGCGUAAAGCGCGCGCAGGCGGUCCUUUAAGUCUGAUGUGAAAGCCCACGGCUCAACCGUGGAGGGUCAUUGGAAACUGGGGGACUUGAGUGCAGAAGAGGAAAGCGGAAUUCCACGUGUAGCGGUGAAAUGCGUAGAGAUGUGGAGGAACACCAGUGGCGAAGGCGGCUUUCUGGUCUGUAACUGACGCUGAGGCGCGAAAGCGUGGGGAGCAAA